rnacentral:rRNA from 1 species
UACGUAGGGUGCGAGCGUUGUCCGGAAUUAUUGGGCGUAAAGAGCUUGUAGGUGGCUCGUCGCGUCGGGAGUGAAAACCCGCGGCUUAACCGCGGGCCUGCUUUCGAUACGGGCGGGCUAGAGUUCGGCAGGGGGAGACUGGAAUUCCUGGUGUAGCGGUGGAAUGCGCAGAUAUCAGGAGGAACACCGGUGGCGAAGGCGGGUCUCUGGGCCGAUACUGACACUGAGAAGCGAAAGCGUGGGGAGCGAACAGG